rnacentral:rRNA from 1 species
ACGCGUUGGGAGCUCUCCCAUAUGGUCGACCUGCAGGCGGCCGCGAAUUCACUAGUGAUUAGCUUUACGACCCUAAGGCCUUCAUCACUCACGCGGCAUUGCUGGAUCAGGCUUGCGCCCAUUGUCCAAUAUUCCCCACUGCUGCCUCCCGUAGGAGUCUGGGCCGUGUCUCAGUCCCAGUGUGGCUGAUCAUCCUCUCAGACCAGCUAAGGAUCGUUGCCUUGGUGAGCCUUUACCCCACCAACUAGCUAAUCCUACGCGGGCUCAUCCCUGGGCGAUAAAUCUUUGGACUUUCGUCAUCAUCCGGUAUUAGCUUCAGUUUCCCGAAGUUAUUCCGAACCCAAGGGCAGAUUCCCACGCGUUACGCACCCGUGCGCCACUAGACCCGAAGGUCUCGUUCGACUUGCAUGUAUUAGGCAUGCCGCCAGCGUUCGUUCUGAGCCAUGAUCAAACUCUAAUCGAAUUCCCGCGGCCGCCAUGG